UACGUAGGGCGCAAGCGUUAUCCGGAAUUAUUGGGCGUAAAGGGCGCGUAGGCGGUUCGUACAGUCAGACGUGAAAUUCCCGGGCUCAACCUGGGGGCUGCGUUUGAUACGUGCGGGCUUGAGUUCGGAAGAGGGUCGUGGAAUCCCCAGUGUAGAGGUGAAAUUCGUAGAUAUCAGGAGGAACACCUGUGGCGAAAGCGGCUCACUGGACCAUAACUGACGCUGAUGCACGAAAGCUAGGGGAGCAAACAGG
rnacentral:rRNA from 1 species